GUAGUCAUAUGCUUGUCUCAAAGAUUAAGCCAUGCAUGUCUAAGUGUAAGCAAUUUAUACUGUGAAACUGCGAAUGGCUCAUUAAAUCAGUUAUCGUUUAUUUGAUAGUACCUUACUACAUGGAUACCUGUGGUAAUUCUAGAGCUAAUACAUGCUAAAAACCCCGACUUCGGAAGGGGUGUAUUUAUUAGAUAAAAAACCAACGCCCUUCGGGGCUCCUUGGUGAAUCAUAAUAACUAAACGAAUCGCAUGGCCUUGCGCCGGCGAUGGUUCAUUCAAAUUUCUGCCCUAUCAACUUUCGAUGGUAGGAUAGUGGCCUACCAUGGUGGCAACGGGUAACGGGGAAUUAGGGUUCGAUUCCGGAGAGGGAGCCUGAGAAACGGCUACCACAUCCAAGGAAGGCAGCAGGCGCGCAAAUUACCCAAUCCCGACACGGGGAGGUAGUGACAAUAAAUACUGAUACGGGGCUCUUUCGGGUCUCGUAAUCGGAAUGAGAACGACCUAAAUAACCUAACGAGGAACAAUUGGAGGGCAAGUCUGGUGCCAGCAGCCGCGGUAAUUCCAGCUCCAAUAGCGUAUAUUAAAGUUGUUGCAGUUAAAAAGCUCGUAGUUGAACCUUGGGUCUGGCUGGCCGGUCCGCCUCACCGCGAGUACUGGUCCGGCCGGACCUUUCCUUCUGGGGAACCUCAUGGCCUUCACUGGCUGUGGGGGGAACCAGGACUUUUACUGUGAAAAAAUUAGAGUGUUCAAAGCANGCCUUUGCUCGAAUACAUUAGCAUGGAAUAAUAGAAUAGGACGUGCGGUUCUAUUUUGUUGGUUUCUAGGACCGCCGUAAUGAUUAAUAGGGAUAGUCGGGGGCGUCAGUAUUCAGCUGUCAGA
rnacentral:rRNA from 1 species